rnacentral:misc_RNA from 1 species
CUUGGUCAUUUAGAGGAAGUAAAAGUCGUAACAAGGUUUCCGUAGGUGAACCUGCGGAAGGAUCAUUACCAAGAACCAAACAGAAAAGGGCAGCCGAGGGGCCAUCAGGGCUAGUAGCUUUACGUUGUUGAACGUCCUGGUCGGACCCGGAGCCGCCCCCAUCUAAACCCUCUGCGUACCUGUCCCGCCUUGCUUCCCCCGGCCAGCCGCCGGGGGGAGGAACAACAACCAAAACACUUUGUGAGCAAACCGACGUCAGAAUCAUAACAAAACAAAAAAAGUUAAAACUUUCAACAACGGAUCUCUUGGUUCCCACAUCGAUGAAGAACGCAGCGAAAUGCGAUAAGUAAUGUGAAUUGCAGAAUUCAGUGAAUCAUCGAAUCUUUGAACGCACAUUGCGCCCCCUGGUAUUCCGGGGGGCAUGCCUGUUCGAGCGUCAUAAAAACCUCCUCCCCCUUCGGGUUUGAUUACUAUCGUUGGGGGGUUUUGGCCUAAUGGGAUAGCGAUUGGCAAUUAGUUUCCCAAUGUCCUAAAUAGACGUAGACCCGCCUCCAGAUGCGACAGCACCGAGGCCAUCAACCGUGGAGUUAUGGGAUAUAUAGGCU